rnacentral:lncRNA from 1 species
AACUAAAAACUGUCAGCUUAGCUUUAUAGUUUUGCCUGUAAUACCUAGCUGGUACAAAAGAAAAGAAAAAAUAUAUAAUAAGAUAUAUAUAAUUAAUUAUAAAUGAAAAAAAGAAAACUAAAAAAGAAGAAAGGCCUAGAGGCAUGUACGCCUUUGGGAGCAUAAGGGAGACAGGCGACAAAUAUAUAUGCAUACAUAUAUAUGGAUAUAUGUGCCUAUAUAUAAUUAAAUAAAGGGCAAAAAAUAAAAGACAAAAAAAGGAUAGAAAGAGAGAAAAAGAGAGAAGCAGAGAAGAAGGCAAUCGAAGCGGCAACCCAACGCGCACGACGAAUGGCUGACUGAUUUGCGGCUCCAGAUCUGCGCAUUGCCCGAUCAGUGUGCGACUCCUAAACCUGCGUACGUGAUGGGGCUAGAAAGAAAAAAGGAGAGAGAGAAGAUACCCAAGUGGGUAAAGAGAGAGAGAGAGAGAGAGAGAGAGAGAGAGAGAGAGAGAAGAGGAAGAAGAAGAAGAAGAAGAAGAAAAAAAAAAAUGAGAAAAUAAG